rnacentral:rRNA from 3 species
AAAUUGAAGAGUUUGAUCAUGGCUCAGAUUGAACGCUGGCGGCAGGCCUAACACAUGCAAGUCGAACGGUAACAGGAAGCAGCUUACUGCUUUGCUGACGAGUGGCGGACGGGUGAGUAAUGUCUGGGAAACUGCCUGAUGGAGGGGGAUAACUACUGGAAACGGUGGCUAAUACCGCAUAACGUCGCAAGACCAAAGAGGGGGACCUU